UCAAAAUGUCCUUUAAUCUUGUGGAAAGUUGAGAUUAAUGAGUUGUCAUAAAAGGAAAAAUACAUUUGAUCUGAAACGAACUAAAAAGAGAGUAGAACAAAAGAAAUUGAAAUGGAGGGAGUACUAUUUAUCGCUUGAUCAACGUGUCUACUUGUUGUUUCAUAACUCUACAACUAAGAUGCAAAUAUAAGCAAAUUAAGUGUUACAAUUGUUGAGAAUACGAUUAAAUAAUAAAAGUGUGCUCUCUCUAACAGCUUAAACUUUUAGAUGAAAUGAUGUUCGAAAAUGAACUAUGAUUUUCACCAGAGAAUAAGCAAAGCUUAUGAGGGCCCUAACAAAAUUUCUUUUACUGAUUUUUCUAUUAAUAUAUUCUUGUCUGAUCAGAUUUGGGAUCUGUGACAGUGACCAUAAAUACCACAAACAAAUCACAUUUUUUCCUUUUUAUCUGUUUUCUGUAUUAUAGUUGAAGUUUCCAUUAAUAAUUGCUAUUUUCUGUCGCUUUUUCUUAUAAAGUUUUGAUUUUUUUUAGCCAUGAGUAGCAGCAGCUGGUGGAGGAAUCAUGAAGGAAUAUUGACAACUUUUUACCCUUUGUUUUUAGGUCAAGUAGUGUCUUUUGUUAGAGCUCUCAUUAGCUUUGCUUCUUCCCUAGUGGCAAAUCUUGGUGUAAAUACUCCACUUUCUCUGUCAUUCUUCACUUACACAGCUUUAGCUUUGGUGUAUGGAGGAAUCAUGAUAUACAGAAGGCAGAAAUUGCAGAUUCGUUGGUAUUGGUAUGCUCUUAUAGGCUUUGCUGAUGUCCAGGGAAGUUUUCUUGUAAAUAAAGCAUUUCAGUACUCAUCAAUCACUAGUGUGACCAUACUAGAUUGCUGGACUAUAGCUUGGGUGAUGAUUUUGACGUGGCUAUUUUUAGGCACACGAUAUUCUCCGUGGCAAUUCUUUGGUGCAGCAGUCUGUUUAGGUGGCCUUGGACUUGUGCUUGUAUCAGAUGCUAAGGCGAGUGAUGGAAGUGCAGGCGGUUCCAAACCUAUUCUCGGUGAUAUAUUUGUCAUCAUAGCGACAUUUUUCUUCUCAAUGAGUAAUGUUGGUGAGGAGUUCUGUGUGAAAAAGAAAGAUCACGUUGAAGUGGUUUCCAUGAUUGGUCUUUUCGGCUUGCUUGUUACUAUAAUCGAGAUACCGAUCUUUGAAAGGAAGAGUCUGAAGUCAGUCAAGUGGUCUGCAGAGCUUAUAGUAGCCUUCUGUGGCUAUGCAGCAGCAAGCUUUAUGUUCUACACCUUAGUUCCGUUUCUUCUCAAGAUGAGCGGCUCAACGUUGUUCAAUCUAUCUCUUCUCACAUCUGAUGUGUGGGCAGUUGCCAUUAGAACCUUUUUCUACAAGCAAAAGGUUGAAUGGCUGUUUUUUUUAGCUUUUGGACUAGUGGUUACUGGGCUGAUCAUAUACUCGAAAACGUGUGUUCGUGUUCGUUGAAUUCCUUAUCUUUAUUGUAUGAACUCUCUUUCUGUCAUGUUAGACAAGAACGAGGUAAAAUAACAUAUUGUCACCUAGCGGUCAAUGAAGUGGACGAUAACCUUAGGAGUGAGAAGGAUCAUGUAAAUGCAUCAGCUACUAUUGAAGAAGCAAACAAUGAAGCUGAUCAAAGGUACCAACUUGUCAAUGAAGAUGGAGAGACAUGAAGGUAGUUGUAUAAUCGAGAUUACGUUUCGCUUCACGAGAAUCAAUUUGAUUGAAUACUAAAACUUGCAAUUUGGCUCUCGAGAAGUGUAACAUGACAAGUAAAAAGUGAACAGAGAGGGAAUAUGUAAUUAUUAAAUUGCAAACCAGUUAUUAUGUAUCGAACCUUCUCUUUAAAAUUCAAAGUGGAUAUCCCUGCGCGAAUCUCAGCAA